UAAGUUAGAAAGGGCGCACGGUGGAUGCCUUGACACUAGGAGUCGAUGAAGGACGGGACUAACGCCGAUAUGCUUCGGGGAGCUGUAAGUAAGCUUUGAUCCGAAGAUUUCCGAAUGGGGAAACCCACCAUACGUAAUGGUAUGGUAUCCUUAUCUGAAUACAUAGGGUAAGGAAGACAGACCCAGGGAACUGAAACAUCUAAGUACCUGGAGGAAGAGAAAGCAAAUGCGAUUUCCUGAGUAGCGGCGAGCGAAACGGAACAUAGCCCAAACCAAGAGGCUUGCCUCUUGGGGUUGUAGGACAUUCUAUACGGAGUUACAAAGGAACGAGGCAGACGAAGCGACCUGGAAAGGUCCGUCGUAGAGGGUAACAACCCCGUAGUCGAAACUUCGUUCUCUCUUGAAUGUAUCCUGAGUACGGCGGAACACGUGAAAUUCCGUCGGAAUCUGGGAGGACCAUCUCCCAAGGCUAAAUACUCCCUAGUGAUCGAUAGUGAACCAGUACCGUGAGGGAAAGGUGAAAAGCACCCCGGAAGGGGAGUGAAAGAGAUCCUGAAACCGUGUGCCUACAAAUAGUCAGAGCCCGUUAACGGGUGAUGGCGUGCCUUUUGUAGAAUGAACCGGCGAGUUACGAUCCCGUGCGAGGUUAAGCUGAAGAGGCGGAGCCGCAGCGAAAGCGAGUCUGAAUAGGGCGUUUAGUACGUGGUCGUAGACCCGAAACCAGGUGAUCUACCCAUGUCCAGGGUGAAGUUCAGGUAACACUGAAUGGAGGCCCGAACCCACGCACGUUGAAAAGUGCGGGGAUGAGGUGUGGGUAGCGGAGAAAUUCCAAUCGAACCUGGAGAUAGCUGGUUCUCCCCGAAAUAGCUUUAGGGCUAGCCUUAAGUGUAAGAGUCUUGGAGGUAGAGCACUGAUUGGACUAGGGGUCCUCAUCGGAUUACCGAAUUCAGUCAAACUCCGAAUGCCAAUGACUUAUCCUUAGGAGUCAGACUGCGAGUGAUAAGAUCCGUAGUCAAAAGGGAAACAGCCCAGACCGCCAGCUAAGGUCCCAAAGUGUGUAUUAAGUGGAAAAGGAUGUGGAGUUGCUUAGACAACUAGGAUGUUGGCUUAGAAGCAGCCACCAUUUAAAGAGUGCGUAAUAGCUCACUAGUCGAGUGACUCUGCGCCGAAAAUGUACCGGGGCUAAAUACACCACCGAAGCUGCGGAUUGAUACCAAUGGUAUCAGUGGUAGGGGAGCGUUCUAAGGACAGUGAAGUCAGACCGGAAGGACUGGUGGAGUGCUUAGAAGUGAGAAUGCCGGUAUGAGUAGCGAAAGACGGGUGAGAAUCCCGUCCACCGAAUGCCUAAGGUUUCCUGAGGAAGGCUCGUCCGCUCAGGGUUAGUCAGGACCUAAGCCGAGGCCGACAGGCGUAGGCGAUGGACAACAGGUUGAUAUUCCUGUACCACCUCUUUAUCGUUUGAGCAAUGGAGGGACGCAGAAGGAUAGAAGAAGCGUGCGAUUGGUUGUGCACGUCCAAGCAGUUAGGCUGAUAAGUAGGCAAAUCCGCUUAUCGUAAAGGCUGAGCUGUGAUGGGGAAGCUCCUUAUGGAGCGAAGUCUUUGAUUCCCCGCUGCCAAGAAAAGCUUCUAGCGAGAUAAAAGGUGCCUGUACCGCAAACCGACACAGGUAGGCGAGGAGAGAAUCCUAAGGUGUGCGAGAGAACUCUGGUUAAGGAACUCGGCAAAAUGACCCCGUAACUUCGGGAGAAGGGUGCUUUCUUAACGGAAAGCCGCAGUGAAUAGGCCCAAGCGACUGUUUAGCAAAAACACAGCUCUCUGCGAAGCCGUAAGGCGAAGUAUAGGGGGUGACACCUGCCCGGUGCUGGAAGGUUAAGGAGAGGGGUUAGCGUAAGCGAAGCUCUGAACUGAAGCCCCAGUAAACGGCGGCCGUAACUAUAACGGUCCUAAGGUAGCGAAAUUCCUUGUCGGGUAAGUUCCGACCCGCACGAAAGGUGUAACGAUUUGGGCACUGUCUCAACCAGAGACUCGGUGAAAUUAUAGUACCUGUGAGAUGCAGGUUACCCGCGACAGGACGGAAAGACCCCGUGGAGCUUUACUGUAGCCUGAUAUUGAAUUUUGGUACAGUUUGUACAGGAUAGGCGGGAGCCUUUGAAACCGGAGCGCUAGCUUCGGUGGAGGCGCUGGUGGGAUACCGCCCUGACUGUAUUGAAAUUCUAACCUACGGGUCUUAUCGACCCGGGAGACAGUGUCAGGUGGGCAGUUUGACUGGGGCGGUCGCCUCCUAAAGUGUAACGGAGGCGCCCAAAGGUUCCCUCAGAAUGGUUGGAAAUCAUUCGUAGAGUGCAAAGGCAUAAGGGAGCUUGACUGCGAGACCUACAAGUCGAGCAGGGCGAAAGUCGGGCUUAGUGAUCCGGUGGUUCCGCAUGGAAGGGCCAUCGCUCAACGGAUAAAAGCUACCCCGGGGAUAACAGGCUUAUCUCCCCCAAGAGUCCACAUCGACGGGGAGGUUUGGCACCUCGAUGUCGGCUCAUCGCAUCCUGGGGCUGUAGUCGGUCCCAAGGGUUGGGCUGUUCGCCCAUUAAAGCGGUACGCGAGCUGGGUUCAGAACGUCGUGAGACAGUUCGGUCCCUAUCCGUCGUGGGCGUAGGAAAUUUGAGAGGAGCUGUCCUUAGUACGAGAGGACCGGGAUGGACGCACCGCUGGUGUACCAGUUGUUCUGCCAAGGGCAUAGCUGGGUAGCUAUGUGCGGAAGGGAUAAGUGCUGAAAGCAUCUAAGCAUGAAGCCCCCCUCAAGAUGAGAUUUCCCAUAGCGUAAGCUAGUAAGAUCCCUGAAAGAUGAUCAGGUUGAUAGGUUCGAGGUGGAAGCAUGGUGACAUGUGGAGCUGACGAAUACUAAUAGAUCGAGGACUUAACCA
rnacentral:rRNA from 1 species